CUCAGUGCGUUUGAGGGAGUAGUAGAAGCCCUUCCACUGGGCCCAGUUGAUGCCAUUGGCAUAAGAGAGGUGGGAGCCACCUAGGUAGAAGCCAUUGAGGUUGGCAAAGUGGCAGCUGCGGAACCAGAAGGCUCCUGAGGAGAGAGCUGCGCAGUUCUGCACAAAGAGGGUGUAGCCAUCCUCCUCUGCGCUGACCGCGUUCGGGGAGAUGGAGAAGUCAGCGUACUUGGCAUAGGCCGUGUUGUUCUCAAAGUCCUCCAAGUCCACU
rnacentral:lncRNA from 1 species